CCUACGGGUGGCAGCAGUGAGGAAUAUUGGUCAAUGGCCGUAAGGCUGAACCAGCCAAGUAGCGUGAAGGAAGACUGCUCUAUGGGUUGUAAACUUCUUUUAUAAGGGAAUAAAGUUAUCCACGUGUGGCUUUUUGUAUGUACUUUAUGAAUAAGGAUCGGCUAACUCCGUGCCAGCAGCCGCGGUAAUACGGAGGAUCCGAGCGUUAUCCGGAUUUAUUGGGUUUAAAGGGUGCGUAGAUGGUUUGUUAAGUCAGUGGUGAAAGUUUGUGGCUCAACCGUAAAAUUGCAGUUGAAACUGGAAGUCUUGAGUAUAGUUGAGGUAGGCGGAAUUCGUGGUGUAGCGGUGAAAUGCAUAGAUAUCACGAAGAACUCCGAUUGCGAAGGCAGCUUACUAAGC
rnacentral:rRNA from 1 species